rnacentral:rRNA from 1 species
GAUCAUGGCUCAGGACGAACGCUGGCGGCGCGCCUAACACAUGCAAGUCGAACGGUGAAGAGGAGCUUGCUCCUCGGAUUAGUGGCGGACGGGUGAGCAACACGUGAGCAACCUGGCUCUAAGAGGGGGACAACAGUUGGAAACGACUGCUAAUACCGCAUGAAGUAUCGGGAUGGCAUCUUCCUGAUACCAAAGAUUUUAUCGCUUAGAGAUGGGCUCGCGU